UACGUAGGGUGCAAGCGUUAAUCGGAAUUACUGGGCGUAAAGCGUGCGCAGGCGGUUCCAUAAAACAGAUGUGUAAUCCCCGGGCUCAAGCUGGGAAGUGCAUUUGAGACUGUGGGGCUAGAGUACGGGAGAGGGGGAUGGAAUUCCGCGUGUAGCAGUGAAAUGCGUAGAUAUGCGGAGGAACACCAAUGGCGAAGGCAAUCCCCUGGACCCCUACUGACGCUCAUGCACGAAAGCGUGGGUAGCAAACAGG
rnacentral:rRNA from 1 species